rnacentral:rRNA from 1 species
AUUGAACGCUGGCGGCAUGCCUAACACAUGCAAGUCGAACGAGUGGCGGACGGGAGAAUAAUGUCUGGGAAACUGCCCGAUGGAGGGGGAUAACUACUGGAAACGGUAGCUAAUACCACAUACCAUCGGAUGUGCCCCGAUGGGAUUAGCUAGUCGGUGGGGUAACGGCUCACCUCGGCGACGAUCCCUAGCUGGUCUGAGAGGAUGACCAGCCACGCUGGAACUGAGACACGGUCCAGACUCCGACGGGAGGCAGCAGUGGGGAAUAUUGCACAAUGGGCGCAAGCCUGAGGCAGCCAUGCCGCGUGUAUGAAGAAGGCUUUCGGGUUGUAAAGUACUUUCAGCGGGGAGGCGUUACCCGCAGAAGAAGCAUCGGCUAACUCCGUGCCAGCAGCCGCGGUAAUAC